GGAUUUUCCAGGAAUUUUUUAUGGAUUGACAGCAAAAUGAUCUCCGAAAUGGGAUUCCUGUAAAAUCCAUGGAAUAUUGAGCUGGCAUGGCCCGUUUUUCCUCCAGGAAUUGUUUGCAAUGGGAGUUGGUGAGAGCUGAGGUUUUGUGGGAUUUGCCCAGUUUCUUUUAAUCCAAGGGUUGUGUCAUUCCGGAGACCUGGGCACCGUUGGGUUUUAAUGGAAAGAUGGGAAUUGUGUGGAUUUAUUCAUUUAUCCGCAGGUUCUGUUGGGAUGGGGAGGUUGGGAGGUGCUGGGAUACAACCAGGAAGUCAAUCCCUGUCCCCCAAAUCCCAAAAAAUUUCCAGGGAAAGCCUAAAAUUGGGGUAUUUUAAGCUAUUAACAGUGGAGUUAAAUUGAUUUAUUCCCUGCAUAGAAAUCCCGGGAAAACCAUCCUCCAAGUGGCCAGAAAUUCCCUAAAAAUGCUCCAAAUUCUUGGAAUAUUCUUCUUGGAGCUCUACAUCAUCUUCCCAUGCAGAAUAAUCCUCUUGGGAAUAUCCACAGGGGCUGUAACGCCUGGAUUUGGGCUGGGAGCUUCCCAAAAAAACCCUGGAAAUCAGGGAUGGGUUUGAUGCAGGGUUCACUUCCCAAAUCUGGGAGCUGCUGCUUUUUCCAGGGAUUUUUUUUUUUUUUUUUUUUUUGUUGAAAACGAGUAACUUUGGGAUCUCUGGCUGCAGGAGGAGGAAUUCAUCGACUGGUGGAGCAAAUUCUACGCUUCCACGGGAGAGAGGGAAAAAUGUGGAUAUUACUUGGAAAAGGGAUUUGACACCUUGAAGGUCUAUGAGACGGAGCUGGAAAACGUCGAGGAAUUUGAGCAUCUCUCUGACUUCUGCCACACCUUCAAACUCUUCCGGGGGAGAUCCCAGGAUUCCAGCGACGACCCCUCGGUGGUGGGGGAAUUCAAGGGUUCCUUCAGGAUUUACCCUCUUCCCGACGAUCCGCGCGUUCCGGCACCUCCCCGGCAAUUCCAGCAGCUCCCGGCCAGGGGGCUCCAGGAAUGCCUGGUCCGGGUUUACAUCAUCCGCGCCUUCGACCUCCAGCCCAAGGAUUCCAAUGGGAAGGUGGGAAAGCUCGGCAUUGGCUCCUGUAGUGGAUUCUUGGAACAGCUCAGCCCUUAUUGGUCAAAAUUUGGUUAAAAUUUGGUCAAAAUUGGUCAAAAUGUACAAAUUUGCCAUAAAAUUUAGGAAUCUGUUCCUGUUUUCUCCCG
rnacentral:lncRNA from 1 species